rnacentral:lncRNA from 1 species
CCUUAGGGUGAAGUGCAAAGGAUCAGUUUUUGUUUCCUAGAAGAGGGUGGGAGAACAGUCUCAGUUGGCUAUAAAGGCUCUGUCACAAGAAGGCCAUCCCUACCGGAAACCCCUGCUUUAAAAGAAGGAAUCACUCAGGCGAAAGGAGCGGUUUUCCGAAGCAGCCGGAUCAAAGUGAAAUCGCUCAGAAUAGCCUGCUCGC